rnacentral:sRNA from 1 species
UAUCGAGGAACUCUGGCUAAGAUCGCCACAUCCUGUGGCAACGCCUGAGUGACCACCAUCCUGGUGG